UAGAUAAUUUUGGCAGUUGACAUAAUUAAUAAACACUAGUGAAUAUAACCAUUAAUUCUUCAAAGUGUAGAAUUUUAAAUAAAAUGCUAAUAAAGGUGUGGAAUUAUGGCCGAAAAUAGUUCUAAAAGGGGUGCGCAAAAACCGAAAAGUAAAGUACGAACUAGUGCUGUUUUAGCUCAAAUUACACGACGUGAUUUAACAUUAAUAAAAGUAGAAAUCAAGAGACAUAAUAUACCAAACAAUCCAAAUCCACCGCCUCUGGUAACUGCUAUAGAAAAUGUUGCAGACUUAAUCUUACACAGACGAGGAUAGGUUUGCAGGGUCACUUGGAACGAUUACUACGUUUUAUUGUAUUUAUUGUUCUUUUUUUUCAUGUAAUACAUUAAUAUCUCAAACUGUUUAUAAAAUGUAGCACUCUAUGCAAAAUAUAAUCAUAACAGUUUUUGAAUUAAAUUAAAUUAAAAGAUAAAUCGUGAGAUGACUCCUGUCUAUAUGAUACAAUAUGGAUUUGCACAGUAGAAGAUUCACAGGAAUGAAGAAGAAGAAGAAGUCACAAUACAA